rnacentral:misc_RNA from 1 species
GUAUUGAAUUAUAUAACUCCAAAUCAACAAGCUAUUUAUCAGCCAAGAACUUCUCUUGUUUGCAUUUGCAACCCCCCAAAACCAAAAAACCAAAACCCCUCUCUUUUGCUUUGCUAGUCACGUAUGUUUGUUUGUUCAGAAAAGACAAGGAAAGGAUAGAAAGAGACAGAAUCUCUAUCCUCUCCUAUCCCCCCCUCAUCUCCUCUGAGGUUGUAAAGUAUUUCUUUGAUGAUCCCUCCGCAGGUUCACCUACGGAGA